AAGCCUAUAGUAUAAUGGUAGUACACUUCGCUGAUUCCGGGGAUGUAGAGGUUCAAAUCCUCUUGGGCUUA
rnacentral:tRNA from 1 species